rnacentral:rRNA from 1 species
AGAGUAUGAUACCGGCUCAGGACGAACGCUGGCGGCGUGGAUUAGGCAUGCAAGUCGAACGAGAAUCAUGGCUUCGGCUGUGAAGAUAGUGGCGAAAGGGUGAGUAACGCGUAGGUAAUUUGCCUUUGAGUUAAGAAUAACAUACCGAAAGGGAUGCUAAUACUGAAUACGAUCGGGGAGUCUUCGGCCCCCCCGAUGAAAGGUGCAAACCGCUCAAAGAUAAGCCUGCGUCCUAUUAGCUAGUUGGUGAGGUAACGGCUCACCAAGGCGACGAUGGGUAGCUGGUCUGAGAGGAUGGUCAGCCACAUUGGGACUGAGACACUGCCCAAACUCCUACGGGAGGCUGCAGUCGAGAAUAUUUCGCAAUGGGGGAAACCCUGACGAUGCGACGCCGCGUGGAGGAUGAAUGCCUUCGGGUUGUAAACUCCUUUUCUAAGAGACGAAGAUCUGACUGUAUCUUAGGAAUAAGCCCCAGCUAACUACGUGCCAGCAGCUGCGGUAAGACGUAGGGGGCAAGCGUUGUCCGGAAUUACUGGGCGUAAAGCGUGCGCAGGCGGCCAUGUAAGUCAGGUAUGAAAUCGAUUGGCUCAACCAAUCAACUGUGCUUGAAACUACAUGGCUUGAGUACGAGAGGGGAAAGCGGAAUGUACAGUGUAGCGGUGAAAUGCGUAGAGAUUGUACAGAACACCCACGGCGAAGGCAGCUUUCUGGCUCGAUACUGACGCUCAGGCACGAAAGUUAGGGGAGCGAAAGGGAUUAGAUACCCCUGUAGUCCUAACCGUAAACGAUGGGUACUAAGUAUAGGAGGGAUUACCCUUCUGUGCUGUAGCUAACGCAUUAAGUACCCCGCCUGAGGAUUACGGCCGCAAGGUUAAAACUCAAGGUAAUUGACGGGAGGCCGCACAAGCGGUGGAGCAUGUCGCUUAUAUUCGAAGCAACGCGAAGAACCUUACCAGGGCUUGACAUCCUUUGACCGCCAUAGAAAUAUGGUUUUCCCUUCGGGGACAAAGUGACAGGUGCUGCAUGGCUGUCGUCAGCUCGUGUCGUGA